rnacentral:misc_RNA from 1 species
GUAGGUGAACCUGCGGAAGGAUCAUUACUGAGAUAGGGUCCCCUGGGCCCGAACCUCCCACCCCGUGCGUACCUUACCUUUGUUGCUUUGGCGGGCCCGCUGGGGCACCUCACCGCCGGCGUGAAGCCGGUGAGCGCCCGCCGGAGACCCCCCAAAACUCCGUCUGUCAGUGUCGUCUGAGUAACCAUACAAUCGUUAAAAACUUUCAACAACGGAUCUCUUGGUUCCG